rnacentral:rRNA from 1 species
CCUACGGGAGGCAGCAGUGGGGAAUAUUGGACAAUGGGCGAAAGUCUGAUCCAGCAAUGCCGCGUGAGUGAUGAAGGCCUUAGGGUUGUAAAGCUCUUUUACCCGGGAUGAUAAUGACAGUACCGGGAGAAUAAGCUCCGGCUAACUCCGUGCCAGCAGCCGCGGUAAU